rnacentral:rRNA from 1 species
CCUACGGGAGGCAGCAGUGGGGAAUAUUGCACAAUGGGGGAAACCCUGAUGCAACAACGUCGCGUGAGUGAAGAAGUAUUUCGGUAUGUAAAGCUCUAUCAGCAGGGAAGAAGAUGACGGUACCUGAGUAAGAAGCCACGGCUAACUACGUGCCAGCAGCCGCGGUAAUACGUAGGGGGCAAGCGUUAUCCGGAUUUACUGGGUGUAAAGGGAGCGUAGACGGUGAGACAAGUCUGAAGUGAAAGCCCGGGGCUCAACCCCGGGACUGCGUUGGAAACUGCCUGACUGGAGUGCUGGAGAGGCAGGCGGAAUUCCUGGUGUAGCGGUGAAAUGCGUAGAUAUCAGGAGGAACACCGGCGGCGAAGGCGGCCUGCUGGACUGAAACUGACGUUGAGGCUCGAAAGCGUGGGGAGCAAACAGGAUUAGAUACCCCUGUAGUC